CUUGCUUCCGCUGACGACCGGCGCACGGGUGCGUAACGCGUAUGCAACCUACCUCAUACUGGAGAAUAGCCCUUGGAAACGAGGAUUAAUGCUCCAUAGUAUCACAGAUUCGCAUGUUUCUGUGAUUAAAGAAUUUCGGUAUGAGAUGGGCAUGCGUCCCAUUAGCUUGUUGGUGAGGUAACGGCUCACCAAGGCAACGAUGGGUAGGGGGCCUGAGAGGGUGACCCCCCACACUGGUACUGAGACACGGACCAGACUCCUACGGGAGGCAGCAGUGAGGAAUAUUGGGCAAUGGAGGCAACUCUGACCCAGCCAUGCCGCGUGAAGGAUGACUGCCCUAUGGGUUGUAAACUUCUUUUAUAUGGGAAGAAACUUAUCUACGUGUAGAUAACUGACGGUACCAUACGAAUAAGGAUCGGCUAACUCCGUGCUAGCAGCCGCGGUAAUACGGAGGAUCCAAGCGUUAUCCGGAUUCAUUGGGUUUAAAGGGUCCGUAGGCGGGUCUUUAAGUCAGUGGUGAAAGCCGACAGCUCAACUGUCGAACUGCCAUUGAU
rnacentral:rRNA from 1 species